rnacentral:rRNA from 1 species
UACGUAGGGUGCGAGCGUUAAUCGGAAUUACUGGGCGUAAAGCGUGCGCAGGCGGUUCGUUGUGUCGGCGGUGAAAGCCCCGGGCUCAACCUGGGAAUGGCCGUUGAAACUGGCGAACUGGAGUGUGGCAGAGGGGGGUGGAAUUCCGCGUGUAGCAGUGAAAUGCGUAGAGAUGCGGAGGAACACCGAUGGCGAAGGCGGCAUCCUGGACCGAUACUGACGCUGAGGAGCGAAAGCCAGGGGAGCAAACGGG